UGGUCUGUGCCUUUCAGACAUGGGCUGC
rnacentral:piRNA from 1 species